rnacentral:lncRNA from 1 species
GUGGACUCAUCUCGGCCUAGUUUGGCCUAGGUCCCUCUGCUAAAACCAGGUUUCUGGGCUGACUCUAAAAUGAGCAGUUGAAGUAGCUAAAAACAAAAUGGAGCUAAAAAACAAAGAAUAACCCUAGACGAGGGAAUUAGGACCUUGUUCCGGUCCUGAUUCUGACACUGUGUGACCUUGGACAAGUCACCAUCUUGACAGCAGCUUCCCCUGGGCUGCGCACAGAGAGGUUUCCUGAUGGAGCCAUGCCCAGCACCCACGAGCUGCCUCAUUCUGCCUUUCGCUUCUGCUAAAGAAAACAUAGAAAUGCAGGUAUGAGCUGGUUUCUUACAGAGAUAACUUACAAGCCAAGCAAGUUUAUUUUUUAAAGACAAAGUACCAAAGCCUGCAAGUAAUUUAUUAUUAGUGUCAAAUUACUUGUGACACUCCCGAGGCUGAUGGCAAUAAACCACCGGACCGUAUCUUCAUGGUUGAGAGCAAGUGGGCUGGCCCCUGCCUUCGGCUGGGCUCCCCUCCCUUGUGCUGGCUGCCUCCCAAAAGGGGGGAGAUCUUAUAAGAGAUAGGUGGAGAAGUUUGACUGAAAAAGUAAAAGUUGAACUCUCGUCUGUAAAGGAGAAUCAAUAAGAACGACUACUUCCUCAUGGAUUUGUUGUAAGGAACAAUAAAAUGCUACUGAAUAUAAAGUGCUUUGUAUGAACUGCAAGGAGGUAUUCAGAUGCCAGGACUGGUCUGUGCUGAUUGGAGACUCCACAGAGAGAGCAUGAAGCUGCUAUUUACGCAAACUUUCCCUGGGGGAGUCCACCUGUAUCCUCUAUGAGAGCAUAAUGACGGGUUUCUGUAAGGAGCACUUGCUGCUUGAUUGUUCAGUCUCUGCCUCAUUCUUUCCAUGGAGUGAUUAGCAGCCAAGCAGCAGGAAAUUCCUGUCUCUCAAAAGAGGCAGAAACAGAAAAGCAGAGAGAAACGGAUACUGACAGAAAGGAGAAACUACCAGAUAGUUCCCCAUCUCUAUCCAACUACUUGGGCUCAACUCUCACUUCAAUCAGCCGCUUAAGGACCGACAGGCUGUGGAAGACUCAGUUAAGUAGAAGAAGGCUUCUGCCAGACCUGUUCCUGUGGGAGUGGAAUCAUUGUGGGACCUGAUGAUUCAACAGUUGAUGAAGAAGCUGAAGCCAGGAGAAGCUAAUUAAAACUUCCAAAUUCCCCUAUAUUCUUUGCACUGCACCAGAGUGAACUUCCAUGGGCACUGAUUACCCAUCAUCUGGAAAGCACUGACAACAAACAACGACCACUGCAACUCUCUAUCCACUCAGAAGCCACAAUUAAACAGCAAGAUCCCUCCUUGGUGGACCUGUAAGUUAAAACAGCACAUUAAGGUGACAAAGUUGAUAAAAGUGCCAGGACCACCUCAGAGGACUCUCCAAGGAGAAGGGAGCCCAAACAAGGUGUAACUGAAAAAUCUACUUGGAUCGUAGUGCCAAAAUCUGAAGUAAAUCCUCCUUUUCCAGAUCAUACCAGGCUGGGAGUGAAAAAUAGAUUUGCAAUAACAGUAAACUCCAUACACACACACACAUACACACCCCCAGAGUAGGUCCUUGACUCAGUCUGCAGGAACGCCAGUCCUUCCUCAGUCCCCACCUCCAUAUCUUCACAUUCCUCUCACAGGAAACAGAGAAGCAAAGAGCUGUCUCACUUGAGCUCAGAAAUGAGUCCAUUUACCUACCAUGGCUGCCACACUGGGCCUCUUGUUUGUUUUCCUCUCCUGUGGUCCAGGCUCCCAGGAGUGACAGCUACUGUUUCUGCCAUUUUACUCCAUGACCAAAGAGAAGCUGCUGAAACAAGACGCCUUGUAUAGCAUCUCAUCUCCAGAGGCAGACUUCCCAAGCUUGCUGUCAGGCUAUCAUGUCCAUUUCUCAACUUCUCUGAGCUCCAACAGUCACCUUGGAACGGGGCAAGUGCCUUUCACCUAACUGUCAUUACAGAGACCACAAAGCAUUGCUUCGUUGAGCUCUCAAUGUCUGACAGAGAUUUUAG